AAUGAACGUUGGCGGCGUGGAUUAGGCAUGCAAGUCGAGCGAGAACCGUAGCAAUACGGGGACAGCGGCGAAAGGGAGAGGAAUACGUGGAUACGUACCCUCGGGCUCAGGAUAGCCAUGGGAAACUAUGGGUAAUACUGAAUAACAUCUCCGGAUCAAAGGUGAGAUUCCGCCCGAGGAGCGGUCCGCGUCCUAUUAGCUAGUUGGCGAGGUAACGGCUCACCAAGGCAAAGAUGGGUAUGGGAUGUGAGAGCAUGAUCCCACUCACUGGGACUGAGACACUGCCCAGACACCUACGGGUGGCUGCAGUCGAGAAUCUUCGGCAAUGGGGGCAACCCUGACCGAGCGACGCCGCGUGCGAGAUGAAGGCCUUCGGGUUGUAAAUCGCUGUCAGAGGGGAGGAAAUGUCGGUGGGUUCUCCCAUCGAUUUGACCUAUCCUCAGAGGAAGGACGGGCUAAGUUCGUGCCAGCAGCCGCAGUAACAC
rnacentral:rRNA from 1 species